UACGAAGGGGGCUAGCGUUGCUCGGAAUCACUGGGCGUAAAGGGUGCGUAGGCGGGUCUUUUAAGUCAGGGGUGAAAUCCUGGAGCUCAACUCCAGAACUGCCUUUGAUACUGAGGAUCUUGAGUACGGGAGAGGUGAGUGGAACUGCGAGUGUAGAGGUGAAAAUUCGUAGAUAUUCGCAAGAACACCAGUGGCGAAGGCGGCUCACUGGCCCGUUACUGACGCUGAGGCACGAAAGCGUGGGGAGCAAACAGGG
rnacentral:rRNA from 1 species